ensembl:antisense Gm42556 predicted gene 42556
AUUCCGUCAUGCCAACUCUGCGUCACCUUUAUUGCUGCCACCUGACACAGCAGAAAUGUCCCCAAAAUGAAACCCAGCCGGCUGACAUCCGGAGAGUGACUCCGCAUACUUUUUUGAGAGAAGUCUCAUUAUACAACCCAGACUACCCCUGAGCUCUCAAUCUUCCUGCCUCAGUUUCAAGAGGGAUGGUAUCACAGUGGCAACACACGCUGGUAAUUGAGGCAGAGGAAAGUGAGUUCCCGGCCAGCCAGGCAGCAGUUAACUGGUGACUGGAGCCGGAUGUGGUGGCGCACGCCUUUAAUCCCAGCACUUGGGAGGCAGAGGCAGGUGGAUUUCUGAGUUCGAGGCCAGCCUGGUCUACAGAGUGAGUUCCAGGACAGCCAGGGCUACAGAGAAACCCUGUCACAGGGAAAACAAAAAACAAAAAAACAAACAAACUCAAAAACUGGUGACUGGAACCGCAGUGUAUGAAAGUAUAGCUAGGAACGUUUGCCACGUCUCGCACCAUUGAACCCUGCCGCUUAACAGUCUCUUUGUUGGUUUGAUUUAGAAGCAAAUCUAAGUGAGAAGUUUACAUAGAGAAAUGGACUGAGUAAAAAAAGAAAUC